UGUGGCUCGCUCCGCUUUUCCUUGAAGGAAAUCUCAGUGAAAGUAGCAGAGACUAACCACGGGGUUUCUUGUUGGGGGAGGGAUGCGUCUUGGUAACAAGAACAGAACUCGGCUUUUCGGUAUUGGUUCCCUUUGUGCUACUCUGAAGGUGAGAUUUCAUUCACAACUUUAUCGGAGGCUUAUUUUUCCGCGAGCUGCCGUUCCACGGACGCACGAGAAAGAAGUUAACUGUGCCUUUGAUGGGAAGUGCGUGAGUAUCGCAGCAGCUGGCGUGCACACACAUCGUGGCAAGACUGGAACCGCUGCACCGGCUUCGUAGGAUUUUGCGCCACUUCUUGAAAGGUCGACCUGUCUCCAUUUUAGCAUGAAAGAUCCCUAAGGUGCCGGUGCCGGCAGUCUUUGAUACACGUGUUUCAGGCACAGAGGAGAUGCGCCCCGUGAGAAAUAAUGAGUUCCGGUUUUGGAAUGCUUUCACAUUUGGAUAGGAGGGAAAUGGCCAAGCGUUUUUUGGAGACUGCCUGGAAAGCACUAGUCAGUUUCAAAUGUCUGGAAAUGAAAGGCAAUGGGAUAAAUCAACGUUGAGACCUGAAACCUCCCCCUCCCCCUCCCAAGUUGCUUUGGUUGUCCUCCUGGCAGAAGCGUGGAACUACUGAGAAUUGGUAAAUGAAGCAGCUUGAGGAUCUUGUUUGAUGAGGAUUGACUUAAGAGGAAUUUCGAAGUUUUAAAUAAAGGAGACAUUCUACUAAGCUAAUGCUGACCCGCCGGUUUUGUUUAUUUGUUUCUGUUUUUUUCUGUUUCUCUAACAGAAAAUCUGUAGUAUCUUUACCUGUGUGCCUUCUUUAAAGAGCAGUUCAUGGAGCUGUUUUUUUAUUUGAACCACGAGUGAAUGAUGCAGUUUUAGCUUCUUGGUGGUAACUUCUCUGACAUACAGUUGUGACAGAAGAAACACUCACUACACAAGUGCCUGUGUGAAGCAAAGAAGGGGGCACCUUUCCUGAAGAAGCCAGCAGUGAUGAAGAUCCAACUGUGACAUAUGAUUGUCCUGUCCAAGGCAAAGGAGGAGGCACCUUUCAUGAAGAAGCCAGCAGUGAUGAAGACCCAACUGUGAGAUAUGAUUGUCCUGCUUGAUAUAGUGCACAACAUGGUGGACAUGUGUAACAGCAAGGCCUUCAACAAGAUGGAAAUCAAGCCAGAGCUAACAACUGCCAGUAGCUGCAUGGCUAGUGGUGAGACUGUAUGCUCAACUCUCCUCCCCAGAGAGGACUAGGUUAUGCUUGCCCAGGUGUAGACGUCUGACUCGCCAGCAAGGAAGAUGCCACAACAGGAUUCUUCUGCACACGUUUAUUGGGAGAGCUUGAUAGAGAAGGCGCAAAGAACCUGAGCCCCAAAACUGGCAUUACUUAUAUAGGCCUAGGAGUGGCGUGUCCGUACCUGAUUGGUUGUGCUUUCAGUGCCUCAUUUACAUUCCCCAGGAUGGGCUGUGACUUAGUGCGAAACCCUUAUGCACAUGUGCACAUUGGUUAUUUACCCAAAUUUACAGGUGGUGGCCAGCGGUAGCCGGCGCCAUCUUGUCAUGGCGUAUGCGGCUUCCCACACCCAGGUCUUAUAGAUACUGCCUUAAUAGUGGCAAGUGUAUAUGGGAAGCUUCCCUACCAUGUCCACAAUGUUUCCAUGUAGUGACUCACCAUCUCUGGCUCUUACACUCUCUCAACCCCUCCUUCCAUAUGAUCCCCAAACCUUUGAAACUGGGGGAGUAUACUGGUAUAUAUGUUCUGUUAUAUAGAAAAGGCUGAGCAUUCUGCAGUCUCUUAAUUUACCAGUAUGGGCCUCUGUGUUAAUCAUCUACUACAAAUAGAAACUUCUUUUUAUGUUUUUAUUACUAUUCUUUAAUCAUUUUUUACAGCCCAGUAGUUAUCCCCCUCCUGCUCUGCCCUCUGACUGUUCCUCAGCCUAUACCUCUUCCCUUGAGAAUAGAAACUUCUUGUGAUGGGAGUUGAGAGGUACAUUAAUCUAUGUGUGUAAUGCUGACCAGUCAUUAGGAGUCAGAUUAAUACUACAUCUACUUGGCAGAAUAAUAGUAGUAGGUUCUUUCAAGAGCCUGUGUCCUGACUAGCCAGAGGUUCUUUGCUACAUAAUGGCUUCAGAUAAGGGUUUUAUCUUGUGCAGUGGCCUUUAAAACUAAUAAGAAAAUGUUUGUUUGAUCCCCUGAUGUUUGUGCCACUAUUGCACUACUAUGUUUCGUAGAGGCAGCAAAGAGAUGGAUGCUAUUUUUCUGAUCCAUCCUAUUAAUCAUUUUAUUGAGAAGUUAAGACCAUGAUUAUUAAGAAUUAUUGAACAAUGUAUAUUUCUGUCAGGCUGUUUUGCAGCAUUUUUUCAGACCUCUUUUAUUCAUUUAUAUAUUUAUUCUUACUGACUGACUGACUGACUGACUGACUGACUGACUGACUGACUUACUUACUGUUUAAGACAUGGUCUCUCUAUGUAAUCCUAGCUGUCUGUACUCCUCCAACCCUGAACUCACUGUGUAGACUUGGCUGGCCUUUACUAUCAGAAAUCUAUAUGUUACCACCUCCAGAGUGCUGUGAUUAAAGAUGUACAACA
ensembl:processed_transcript C630043F03Rik RIKEN cDNA C630043F03 gene